GCCGCCUGUCUGUCAUCCUCUGUGGACGCUUGGAGGUCUGGCACACCGGGGGCGGGGCGGAGGGGGCAGUGGGCGGAGUCGGCGUCCGCUGUUUUGGUUGGUCGAGGGUGACGUAUCGGGAGCCACUUCCUGGUCUGUCUGCUCUCUGGGAGGAGGAGAGCGAGACUGCGGUGUUGUUAGUUUGAACAAAAUGGCUGCGAGACCACUGUCAACGAGAGCUCACUGAACGCCUACCAUGACUGUCCGCUCCGCUGUCUGGAUCCACACAGAAUGUAUUUCCCCGGAGUCGUUUCUCACUUUGCAUCCUCGGUAGCCAGCCCGUCGCUAGUCGUCCAACUGGCGACCUAAACAAACAAACAAACAACAACAAAUAAUUUAUUUUGCACUUUAAAGCAAGUUGGCUUUGCUCAUCGGUGAUUUUUCUUCUUCUUUUUUUUUUUUUUUUUUUUUACGAAAACCGACUGAUUUUCUCCGCUUUGCAAAAACCUCGCAACGUCAGCCGGCGUUCGCGUGCAUCUAUUCGCUUAAAAGUAAUUUCAUUCGUGAUUUUAUUUUUUAAUAUUUUUGUUUUUGUUGUCAGUGGCGUUUCGCUCGCCUCCCCGCCCCCUCUCCUCUCCUCCCAUUAGACCCGUGACGUUUGGACGAACUGCUUUUUUCGAGUGUAAUUCCGCGGCACAUUUAGUUUUUGGGGAGCUUUAGUUGUGUCUCGAGCCUCGACCACCGUCCUCUCUGGCCGAGUGGCCGUUGUUUACCUCGCUCUCUCGUCACCAGUCGGCUCAUCUGCCAAGCCCGACUUGAAACUGCGACUGAAUCUCGACUCUUUUACUCUUUUACGGGUAACUUUAAGAAGAGACCGUGGAGAAUGCUUCUUCUUCUUCUUCUGCCAUGAACCGACUCCACACCGAAAGCUGCCAUCAAACCUGCGGCUAACGCGAGGCUGCUGAUCAGAAACCCAAAGUGCCAGAGCCUGCUCCCACUAAGCCCAGUCCCGG
rnacentral:lncRNA from 1 species